rnacentral:rRNA from 1 species
GAUGAACGCUGGCGGCGUGCCUAAUACAUGCAAGUCGAGCGAACAGACGAGGAGCUUGCUCCUCUGACGUUAGCGGCGGACGGGUGAGUAGCACGUGGAUAACCUACCUAUAAGACUGGGAUAACUUCGGGAAACCGGAGCUAACACCGGAUAAUAUAUUGAACCGCAUGGUUCAAUAGUGAAAGACGGUUUUGCUGUCACUUAUAGAUGGAUCCGCGCCGCAUUAGCUAGUUGGUAAGGUAACGGCUUACCAAGGCGACGAUGCGUAGCCGACCUGAGAGGGUGAUCGGCCACACUGGAACUGAGACACGGUCCAGACUCCUACGGGAGGCAGCAGUAGGGAAUCUUCCGCAAUGGGCGAAAGCCUGACGGAGCAACGCCGCGUGAGUGAUGAAGGUCUUCGGAUCGUAAAACUCUGUUAUUAGGGAAGAACAAAUGUGUAAGUAACUAUGCACGUCUUGACGGUACCUAAUCAGAAAGCCACGGCUAACUACGUG